UCUUAUGGAUGAGCAAAGAAAGUGGUUUCACGAGAAGGAAGCUACUCCUGGUGAAGAUGCUGUGAA
rnacentral:pre_miRNA from 1 species